rnacentral:lncRNA from 1 species
CCGCCUCUGUUUCCUCUUGUCUCUCUUGAACCCUCUCAACUUCUGAAACCCUAGAAGCCACCUACCCCCCCUCCGACCUAAAAUCCACGGAAUCCAUGGCUAAUCUAGCCAUGGAUUAUCUCUACUCACUGUCUCUUGCUCCUAUAUGCCUGCUCGUUGAAAAUUCGAGGAUAGACGUCAAAGGUAUUCAUCCAGACCCUGACUGAUUCAAGUUUCUUUGGCCAUUUCCAGUUUUACUUUGCCAUCUCUUAGCCUUUCGAGCCUUGAUUCGACCUUAGCAGCACCAUUCUCGAGACUUCCAAUCCUUCUCGUCCUUUAAGGUUCUCAGAAACCCUAGCCUAUUCGAGGUUCUUUCUUUGUUUAUUUGCCUAGAUCUGUGGUGAAUCUACGUUAUAUUUGACGUUUUAAGUAUUUUCCCCAAUUUUCCUUUUUAAAAAUCGUUUGAUUUCAAAACUAGGGUUUCGGAAAGUCUUUUGAUUCUUGCUGAUCUUUUCUUUUGAAUGUUUAUCUAUAUUAUGCUCGUAUGUUUUCCUUCUCUAUUACCCAUGUAUUGUCCUUCUUUUCUUUAUGUGUGUGCUCACAUGAUUAAUCUGUGUUAAACUUUUCUCAUGUUUGUAUUUACUGCUGAGUUUCUUGACUAUGGUUGUGUGUUUGUUAAGCAUGUUUCUUCUGUUCUUAAGUUUUGAAAUUGUCGGGGCAUGUUAUGGUUUUGUCUCUUUGAUUGUCUCAAGCCUGCUAUUGUAUUUGCUUGACUCUCAUAAGACUCCUCGAGUCUGUUCACUUGCCUUCUCGUUUCUGUGGGGAAACCCUACAAUUUGGGGUUAUUCUUUGAGUAAAAGACACUAGGGUUUCAAAUUGAAACCCUAGGUUCACAGACUCACAACUAGUCUGUAAUCGAACUCAAAACCCUAUUUGCCUGUGAUUAUGAAAGCUCUCAUUGUUCUUCUUUGGUUUUGAACUCUGUGCUUUAUAUAUAAGCUUCCCUUUCAAAGUUUAUUUUCGAAAUCCCUUUAAACAGGCUAAGAAAUUCGUCACUGAUUUUCUCUUUGUUGGACCUCUUUUACCUACUAAUGUGUUCCUUAAAUAAUUGAUCCUGUAUCUUCUGUGAUUUUGUACCAAUGUUUGAAUUAUUUACUUUCUUAAUUGCCUCAGUUUCUUUGUGAUUUGCAAUUGGAUCCGAGAUCCUUUGACUGAUUUUUCAAACUUGUACCUACUGUGACCUCUUCCCUUAAAUACCAAUUGUGUAUGUGACCUUGUUUGUGCACUAUAUGGUCUCUUUACCUUAAUAUAGCCCUAAUAAACUGAUUCUCUCUUCCUUCUUAGUCGUUUGAAUUAGACCCUUAAUUAAAGGAGUCUGAUAUCCCUAAUUGAUACUAAUUUUAUAAGUUUCUAUGUUUUGCACUCUCUUGCCUGCCUCACUUGUUUUUUAAAAAAACUAUAUAAAGGUCUUAGCCCUCACCCUAUUUGAAAAAGAACCAUAACAAAAUGAAAAAAGAAAUAACAAUCAAGUAGUAGUCAAUUUAUUUUCUACUCUCCUCUUCUCACAAAUACACAGACCAGUUCUGUGUACUCCUCCUCUUUGCUUUCUGAAAUACCUUUAAGUUCUCCUUGAAUCUUCAAGUGUUCUGCUGAAAACCUGAGUUGUUUAUGUUGUUUGCUUACUGCGGUUACUCUGUUAUUCUCUUUUUGUUACUUUGCAAGUGGCAUGUUCAUCUUAUUUUAGUGUUGCUCCUCCACUUUGUGAUUUUCAUUCUAGUUCUGUUAUGUUUUUCUUUGCUGUUCUUCUGCAACUUUGUCAUUAGUGUUCUUAUGUGACCCUUACCCUUUACCCCUUUAUAUGUGAGUUAUGGUUCAAGGCAUACACCACUCUAAUAUUGUUGUCUAUGAUUCUGAAUUGGGUUUUUUGAAUCCCUAGCUCAAUCAUUUCCCACUACCUUUCCCCCUUUAUGUGUUUGAGCCUUGGACUUGGGUCUGAUAGUGUCCUAAUCACUAUCCAGACUUAGGUCUGACCUUCAAGGAUCUGCUCCUAACUUGUUUAACCAAACAAGUGGUCAGGGGUGUGCCAGCCUACACUUGUGUCUAGGCAUGACAACCAUUUGUAUGGCUCCCCAAUUCCUUUUAACUUUUCACUUACUCUUAGCCAUAAGUACUGCCCCUCAUUUGCAAGCCAUGCUAUGGGACCCCUGAUCUCCCUCUAAACUUGGAUUCCUGAAGGCUGGCUCUUCCACACUGCACUAUUCUAAUUCUAAUGGUAUCCUGGGUGUAAGCAAUGCAUGGAAUCCCUUAGAUUCCUUGGAAAUUUUAAACACUUUGGAUAAAGAGAAGGUUUGGGAAAUCUGGAUUCCGGAAUUAGUUAAACACAUAUUGUUGGACAUUAAGGUUGAUCCUGCUCCUAAUUUGUUGAACCAAAAAAGUGGUCAUGGGUGUGCCAGCUUACUUUGUGGCUAGGUAUGACCACCAUUUGUCAUGGCUCCCAAAUCCCCCUUUCAAUUUGCACUUCCUCUUAGCUAUAAGUUUUUCCCCUCUCUUGUAGGCCAUGCUUUGGGACCUUUGAGCUCCCUCUGAUCUUGGAUUCUUGAGAGGUGGCUCUUCCAUACUGCACUGUUCUAAUUCAAAUGGUAUCCUGGGUGUAAGCAAUAUCGGGAAUCCCUGAGAUUCAUUGGAACUUUGAAACACUUUUGAUAAAGAGAAGACUUUGGAAAUCUAGAUCCCGGAAUUGGUUGAACAGAUGUUAUUGGACAUUAAAGUUGAAUUAGGCUUCUCGGAUCAAGCUGUUAGCUUUUGAUGUAUUUUUAUAUCUUUUCUGGUUUGUAAUAACUUGUAUAAAACUCUAGGAAUUUAGUAAAAGAGUGUGAGAAGGAUCUUUACUUUCUUGCAUAAAGAAGGGAUAGAAAUCAUGACUUUAGGACUUUAAUUUAUUCACCUAUAAAUCAUGCCUAUAGGUUUAUCACGCAG